AACACCUCAAAGCCUUUUUUCUUUUUUGAAGAAAGGCUUUGGACUUGAGCAAUCCCAACACCAAUCUUUUUAAAGAGAGGGGGCGGGUUGCUUGAAAUGCAGGUGCAGCUGGACAUUCUCCUGAGCUAAAAGCAUAUUCAUUUAAUCCCGUCAAACGGAUUAUUACUUUUGCUGCAGCUAACAUAAAGGGAGUUUGACCAUUUUGGCUGACUGAUGCAGGAUUUUCACAAGAGUCUUCAAAACCUCUUGUUAA
rnacentral:misc_RNA from 1 species